AACUGGCGAUGGACGGCCGCUCCGUUUCGACGGGGAGGAAAGUCCGGACACCAUAGGGCAGGAAGUCCGGUUGAAAAGCCGGAUACCGCGGACGAUAUGCCGCGGGAAGGACAGUGCCACAGAAAGCAAACCGCCCCUCACGGGGUAAGGGUGAAAGGGUGGGGUAAGAGCCCACCGCCGUCCGGAGUAACCCGGCGGGCAUGGUAAACCCCUUCCGGUGCAAGACCAAAUAGGGAACAAAGGUGCUGCUCGUACCGGCCUGCUCUGCAGGAUGAGUUCCGGGUAUCGGUCGCUUAGAUGAAUGGUCGUCACGGCGCCGCAAGGCGCCGUACAGAAUCCGGCUUACAGUCGCCAGUUGCGC
rnacentral:RNase_P_RNA from 2 species